UUCGCCUACGGGAGGCAGCAGUGGGGGAUAUUGCACAAUGGGGGAAACCCUGAUGCAGCGACGCCGCGUGGGUGAAGAAGCGCCUCGGCGCGUAAAGCUCUAUCAGCAGGGAAGAAAGAAAUGACGGUACCUGAGUAAGAAGCCCCGGCUAACUACGUGCCAGCAGCCGCGGUAAUACGUAGGGGGCAAGCGUUAUCCGGAAUUACUGGGUGUAAAGGGAGCGUAGACGGUAAUGCAAGUCUGGAGUGAAAGGCGGGGGCCCACCCCCCGGACUGCUCUGGAAACUGUGUAACUGGAGUGCAGGA
rnacentral:rRNA from 1 species